rnacentral:tRNA from 1 species
GGGAAUGUGGCUCAAUGGUAGAGUGCUUGCUUAGUGUGCAUGAAGCCCUAGGUUCGAUUCCUCAGUACCA